rnacentral:rRNA from 1 species
AGUUCGGAUCGGAGUCUGCAACCCGACUCCGUGAAGCUGGAUUCGCUAGUAAUCGCGCAUCAGCCAUGGCGCGGUGAAUACGUUCCCGGGCCUUGUACACACCGCCCGUCAAGCCAUGGGAGCCGGGGGUGCUUGAAGUGCGUCGCCGCAAGGCGCGCCCUAGAGCAAAACCGGUGACUGGGGCUAAGUCGUAACAAGGUAAC